rnacentral:piRNA from 1 species
GGGAGAUAAUGUAGAAAAUAAUA